rnacentral:tRNA from 1 species
AUUUAAAUAGCUUAAAAGUAGAGCGUGACACUGAAGAUGUUAAGGUGAUUAGUGGAAUCUUUAGAUA